GGAGAGUUGGCCGAGUUGGUCGAAGGCGCGUCACUGCUAAUGACGUAUAGUCCAAAAGAUUAUCACUGGUUCGAAUCCAGUACUCUCCGCCA
rnacentral:tRNA from 1 species